AUGUGGCCUGCACCAGUGCUUCUGCUCGUCCAGUCGGCUCUGCUGAUUCAAGGAUCUUCUGCCCAGGAUUUGUUGACCCAGACGGACAAAAUCAAGGAUGUCAGUCUUGGUGGGACGGUGACCAUCAGCGCCAAAGGGAGUUCAAAUAUUGGUGCUGAUCUCAGUUGGUACCAAGUGAAACCUGGACAGGUUCCUAAACUUCUGAUCUAUUAUGCAACAAGUCGCUUUACUGGAACACCACCUCGAUUCAGUGGCACACAAUCUGGCUCUGACUACACUCUGACUAUCAGUGGUGUUCAGGCAGAAGAUGUCGCUGAUUACUACUGUUUUGCCGGUUUUAGAGGUGGAAGGGAAGUGAAAGUGGAAGAUGAUGAUGACUGGUCCACUGAACAAAGAUCACCAAGCAGAACCAGCGUCAAUCUGAACAAGUUGAUUGACUUGUAA